rnacentral:rRNA from 1 species
UACGUAGGGGGCAAGCGAUGUUCGGAUUUACUGGGCGUAAAAGGCGCGUAGGCGGCGCGUAAAGUCGGACAUGAAAUCAUUGAGCUUAACCCAAUGGCUGCGCCCGAUACUUGGGUGCUUAGAGUGCGCGAGAGGCAAUCGGAAUUCUCGGUGUAGCGGUGAAAUCCGUAGAUAUCGAGAGGACCUCCAGUGACGAAGGUGGGUUGCUGGACCGACACUGCCGCUGAGGCGCGAAAGCUAGGGGAGCAAACGGG